CGAGCGGCGUCAAGCGUCCUCUGGAGGACCGGAUGGACGCGGCCGUGCCCCGCGCACCCCCGGGCGCCCGGUGGGCAAGGGCCGCGUGAAUGUUGGGCGGGCUUCUCCUGAUGUGACGGUCCCCGGGAGGGCGCGCGUGGGCGUGUCCCCUCCAUCCACGCGCGGCAGCUUCACCCCCUCAGCUCGCGUCCAGGAUGCUGAUUUCUGAAGUGGAGCCUUGGAGAAUCUGCAGUUCAUAAUGGAGCUACUGUGCUGGCUUUGGAAGGAGGCGAUUCUGAAGAUAGAGAGAUUCAGCUGUCGGUCUUUGACAUUUCCUGUGGUCUGUUCACUCUAGAUGCAAAGGACAAGGAAAAAUCAGGAGCCUUCUUAUUCAAAACACCUUUCAAACUCAAGGCAUAAAAAUAGCACGCAGCUUCCACUUGCAGGCUUUUGAAGCUGGAGAAGACUUGUUUUUCAUGUGAAGAAACUGCAUCUCAGGAAGAUGAGAUGACUUGCUACUGAAAUUCACAAAAGUGUGGGGCCCUAUGACUGGGCCCGCCUGGAAUUUUUGUCUCUCAGAGUUGUCCACAUUGAGCCUUUAGCAACUUAUCAGUUAUAGAUCAAGUUCUCCAAGCCUAGCAUUGGAACUCAUGCAUUGGAAUUCCUGCUUAUGGGUUUCUAUCCAGUAAGUUGUGGUUUUCUGUAGUCACCUGUCUCUCUCCAAUUUUAGAAUUUUAGGGUCAGAGACUUGCCCUGUAACCUCACUUCUCUUAUGGAGCUCAAAAGAUUGGUUGAUUUUUCAGUUUGCUCAGCUUUUUAUUUGUUUUAGAGUGGAGUUGGUGACCUCUAAGCUCCUUACAUGUUGGACCAGAAACCGAAAGUCCACAAACACACCUUAUCCGACUGUGACAAGAUAAAUACCAGGAGAGAAAGCAUUUAGAAACUUGAGUAAUUUGACAUUGCCAUGAUAUCCAAGUGCAUGAUUUUAUGUUUUAUAAAAAUAUUGGUCUGCAGAAUCUUGGAAAUUAGAAACAAAACAAAACAAAACAGCAAUAAACAAUUGGCCCUUCACUACAGGUGGAGAAGCAUGGGACUAGGAGGCAAUCAAGAACAUGAUGAUUUGAGGUGGGAAUUUACACCAUCUUUGCAGUUAUCCAGAAGGUGCCAGCCCCCUGGAGUGACUCCUUGAAGCUGCUUCCAGACAUCUAAUAUGGCAGACCACACUGCACCGCAGCGCCUCAUCCGUCCGGUCUAAGGAAAUUUGCUGAGAGUUGGGCCAAGUCUCAAGGUCCACUCAAGUCUAAAGAAGACUCUGUAAAUACUAACAACCACAAGACGGAAGGAAUGCAAGUCCAACGGUGGUUUUUCGCAAACUUUAGCAGGCUCUGGCACCAUGCCUACCACUCAGAAAUGUGCUGGAUGAGUCUGUGAAUGUUUGGGGUAAAGAAACAUGAUUCAAGAAGGGCUAAACCAUCCUAGAAGGCUUGGCGAGCUCAGGAUGCUCCAGGAUGUCUUCAUGAGGAAGAAAAGAAAAUGAAGAUAAACCAAUGCACAGAAGAUUAAGUAAUUUUUCCAAAGAUGCAGAAAUAGAAAAUGACAGAACUUGGCUUCUUUACCACGAUAUUCUAAUUGCCUUCUUCACCAAAUGGGAAGAUAGUGACUUUUAGGGAACAAAGGUUUUCAUCCUGAUACACCAGGUCUUUAAUGAUGUCAGUGAGGAAACAGCCAUCUCCUCCUGUCAAAAGACGCUGAGUCUUCAAGGACCGCUGGUUGUCCAGAGGAGGCUGUAGUUAUUCUGGGGAAGCACAAGGCUGGAGUCAUUUUGAUCAGUUACUCUGUGGAGAGUCCAAAACCGUGAAGCAGAAUGAAUCUCAGGACAGACAGCACUGGAACUCUAGAAGUGUAACUUCACCAGCAGAGGAGGUGGUGAUGGAUGAUUUCUGAUUAUGGAGUCCUUUUCAUCUCUCAAUUUAUAUUCUGAGCUGUUACCUAGAAUAAAUCCUAUCAUUCCUAA